rfam:Dothistroma septosporum NZE10 unplaced genomic scaffold DOTSEscaffold_5, whole genome shotgun sequence.
CUAGCUCUCUUUGCCUUUUGGCUUAGAUCAAGUGUAGUAUCUGUUCUUUUCAGUUUAAUCUCUGAAACGAGUCUACGGACUCAUUCAAGAUUAUUCUUAUUUUUGGCUUCAGUCGGGUGGCCGCUCUGCUUGCAGAUGUCGCCCGACACGGUGUCCUUGGUAUUGCACUGCCUCCAAGUGACGCGACUUCCU